rnacentral:rRNA from 1 species
AUUUCAAGUUUGACCUGCCCAAUGAAAGUUUAAAUGGCUGCGGUAAAUUGACCGUACAAAGGUAGCAUAAUCAUUAGUUUUUUAAUUGGAAGCUAGAAUGAAAGGUUUGAUGAAAAGAAGACUGUCUCUGUAAAAUUUAGUUGAAUUUUAUUUUUAAGUGAGAAAGCUUAGAUAAAAGUAGAAGACGAGAAGACCCUAUAGAGUUUUAUAGUUUUACUUAUUCAUUUUUUAAGAGGAAAAAUAAAAUUUAUUAAGUGAAAGUAUUUUGUUGGGGUGACAGGAAAAUUUAAUUAACUUUUUCUUUGAGUUUUCACUAAUAAGUGUUUAGAUGAGCCUUUAGAAAGAAGGAAAGAUAAAAUUACCUUAGGGAUAACAGCGUAAUCUUCUUUAGAGUUCUUAUCGAAAGGAGGGAUUGCGACCUCGAUGUUGGAUUAAAAUUAAUUCUUGGCGAAGAUGCUAGGUAAUUAGGUCUGUUCGACCUUUAAAAUUUUACAUGAUCUGAGUUUAAACCGGUGUGAGCCAGGUCGGUU